rnacentral:rRNA from 1 species
CUGGGUUCAAAACGUCGUGAGACAGUUUGGUCCCUAUCUUCCGUGGGCGCUGCAGAUUUGAGAAAGCCUGCUCCUAGUACGAGAGGACCGGAGUGGACGCACCGCUGGUGUACCUGUUGUCACGCCCGUGGCAUCGCAGGGUAGCUAAGUGCGGAAGAGAUAACCGCUGAAAGCAUCUAAGCGGGAAACUCGUUUCAAGAUGAGAUCUGCCGGGGCCUUGAGCCCCCUAAAGAGUCGUUCUAGACCAGGACGUUGAUAGGCUGGGUGUGGAAGUGCAGUAAUGCAUUAAGCUAACCAGUACUAAUUGCUCGUGCGGCUUGACCCUAUAA